rnacentral:rRNA from 1 species
GAUAAACGCUGGCGGCGCACAUAAGACAUGCAAGUCGAACGGAAGCCGUUACAUUUGAAGCUGAAAUGAACAGAGAACUUGUUCGAAGGAAUUUGACGUAGAUUAUGUAACAAUGACUUUAGUGGCUUUACUGGUGAGUAACGCGUGAGCAACAUGCCCGAUAGUGGAGGAUAGUCGAUGGAAACGUCGCGUAAUACUCCGUAACUUAAGGGACCGCAUGAUCCUUUAUUAAUAGAUUUAUCGCCAUCGGAUUGGCUCGCGUACCAUUAGCUAGCUGGCGGGGUAACGGCCCACCAAGGCGACGAUGGUUAGGGGUUCUGAGAGGAAGGUCCCCCACAUUGGAACUGAGACACGGUCCAGACUCCUACGGGAGGCAGCAGUGAGGAAUAUUGGACAAUGGCCGGAAAGCUGAUCCAGCCAUGCCGCGUGCGGGAAGACGGCCCUAUGGGUUGUAAACCGCUUUUGUUGGGGAGCAAUAUGUCCACGUGUGAUUGAUGAGAGUACCAGCGAUAGCAUCGCUACUCGUGCAGCAGCCGCGGUAAUACGAGAUGCAGCGUUAUCCGGAAUAUAUUGGGUUUAAAGGUGCGUAGGGGGAGCUAACCUGAGGUGAAUGCCGGCUUCAUGAACGCUCUCCCAUAGAUCUCUAUAUGUGCU